rnacentral:rRNA from 1 species
UACGUAGGGGGCUAGCGUUGUCCGGAAUCAUUGGGCGUAAAGCGCGUGUAGGCGGUCCGGUAAGUCCGCUGUGAAAGUCGGGGGCUCAACCCUCGAAAGCCGGUGGAAACUGUCGGGCUAGAGUGCGGAAGAGGCGAGUGGAAUUCCUGGUGUAGCGGUGAAAUGCGCAGAUAUCAGGAGGAACACCAAUUGCGAAGGCAGCUCGCUGGGACGUUACUGACGCUGAGGCGCGAAAGCGUGGGGAGCAAACAGG